UCCCCUCUCUCUGUUUCCCAACCUCUCUCUCUCUCUCUCUCUCUCUCUCUCUCUAGGGUUUUCAAAACCCCCUUUCACCCAAACCCACCAUUGAUCCGUGAGAGAGACUUAGAGAGCACUCGAAAGAAGGAGAAGAAGAAGAAAAAGGAGAAGGAGAGGAAAUCCAGACAUCGGUGCAUGCUAGAGUGGAAGCUCUUGCAGUGGGGAAGCUAUCACUAAACUUGACGGAUUUUAGCAGCGAGGCCAUUUCUAUGUUUGGAAAUCAAUCAGCCUUGCAAUCCAGAGCCUUCUGCCGUUCACACAAUCUAUACUUCUCACGGUGGAAUAUCUCAACACAGCAGCACUUGGGCCUAAAAAAUAUUACAAAUCAAAUGUAUAGAAAGAAAUGAAAGAGCUAAAUCAAUAGUGAGAUCGUGCUUAAUCUCAUCUCAAGGGCUCGUCUCUUUUCUCAACAUUUUUCAGGUUGUGAAUGUGAUGUUAAAAAUUCUGCCAUACACAAAGACAUCUUUCUUUGUAUCAUUUCCCAAAAAGUCGACAAACUAGGUGUUGAAAAAAAGAAAAAGAAAAUAUCAUGAUAUCUCUAGCAUUUAGCAUUCUUCUUAUGGGAACUUAUCUGUUGGUCAGAAAUACACAAGUGGACCUCAAAUUCCAUCUGUGAUUAGGAUCAUUGUUUAGUGGGCCACCACAUUCUGAGUUGUAUCUCACAAAUCAAGCAAGUAUGAGAACUUUGCU